AACGCUAGCUACAGGCUUAACACAUGCAAGUCGCGGGGCAGCAUGUAUCUGGCUUGCCAGAUACGAUGGCGACCGGCGCACGGGUGAGUAACGCGUAUCCAACCUGCCCAUAACCACGGCACAGCCCGUCGAAAGGCGGAUUAAUGCCGUAUGAGGUUCCAGCGUAGCAUUAUUAUGGAACGAAAGGAUUUGGCGGUUAUGGAUGGGGAUGCGUCCGAUUAGCUUGUUGGCGGGGUAACGGCCCACCAAGGCGACGAUCGGUAGGGGUUCUGAGAGGAAGGUCCCCCACACUGGAACUGAGACACGGUCCAGACUCCUACGGGAGGCAGCAGUGAGGAAUAUUGGUCAAUGGGCGGAAGCCUGAACCAGCCAAGUAGCGUGCAGGACGACGGCCCUAUGGGUUGUAAACUGCUUUUUCGCGGGGAUAAAGAGGGGGACUUGUCCCCCGUUGCAGGUACCGCGUGAAUAAGGACCGGCUAAUUCCGUGCCAGCAGCCGCGGUAAUACGGAAGGUCCGGGCGUUAUCCGGAUUUAUUGGGUUUAAAGGGAGCGCAGGCCGUAUGGUAAGCGUGUUGUGAAAUGCCGUGGCUCAACCAUGGCACUGCAGCGCGAACUGCCGUACUUGAGUACGCUGGAGGUAGGCGGAAUUCGUGGUGUAGCGGUGAAAUGCUUAGAUAUCACGAAGAACUCCGAUUG
rnacentral:rRNA from 1 species